UAUUGCUGUCAUUAAUAUUACGAUAGAUUUAAAAAAAAAUCCUUCUAAAUUUAACAUCUUACAGUGAAAACCCGCUUAUAUUCAAAGUUUCAAACAGAGUAUAUUUUCGAAACGCUACACAAUAUUAAUGUUUUUUCGACUGGUAUCUUAUGUAAUU
rnacentral:sRNA from 1 species